UACGUAGGGUGCAAGCGUUAUCCGGAAUUAUUGGGCGUAAAGCGUUCGUAGGCUGUCUGCUAAGUUCACUGUUAAAUCCGGUCGCUCAACGAUCGAAGCGCGGUGAAAACUGACAGACUAGAGAAUGGCAGAGGCAACUGGAAUUCCACAUGUAGGGGUAAAAUCCGUUGAUAUGUGGAGGAACACCAAAAGCGAAGGCAGGUUGCUGGGCCAUUUCUGACGCUGAGGAACGAAAGCGUGGGGAGCAAACAGGAUUAGAUACCCGCGUA
rnacentral:rRNA from 1 species